rnacentral:rRNA from 1 species
AUUGAACGCUGGCGGCAUGCCUUACACAUGCAAGUCGAACGGUAACGCGGGGCAACCUGGCGACGAGUGGCGAACGGGUGAGUAAUGCAUCGGAACGUGCCCAGUAGUGGGGGAUAGCCCGGCGAAAGCCGGAUUAAUACCGCAUACGACCUAAGGGUGAAAGGGGGGGAUCGCAAGACCUCUCGCUAUUGGAGCGGCCGAUGUCAGAUUAGGUAGUUGGUGGGGUGAAGGCCUACCAAGCCGACGAUCUGUAGCUGGUCUGAGAGGACGACCAGCCACACUGGGACUGAGACACGGCCCAGACUCCUACGGGAGGCAGCAGUGGGGAAUUUUGGACAAUGGACGCAAGUCUGAUCCAGCCAUGCCGCGUGCGGGAAGAAGGCCUUCGGGUUGUAAACCGCUUUUGUCAGGGAAGAAAUCUUCUGGGUUAAUACCUCGGGAGGAUGACGGUACCUGAAGAAUAAGCACCGGCUAACUACGUGCCAGCAGCCGCCGUAA